UACGGAGGGUGCGAGCGUUGUCCGGAAUCACUGGGCGUAAAGGGCGCGUAGGCGGCCACCGCAAGUCGACUGUGAAAUCUCCGGGCUUAACCCGGAAAGGUCAGCCGAUACUGCGGGGCUAGAGUGCAGAAGGGGCAACUGGAAUUCUCGGUGUAGCGGUGAAAUGCGCAGAUAUCGGGAGGAACACCAGUAGCGAAGGCGACACUCUGGGCCGGUACUGACGCUGAGGAGCGAAAGCGUGGGAUCAACAGG
rnacentral:rRNA from 1 species